rnacentral:snoRNA from 1 species
CCCCUCUCGGGGUCGCACCUGGAGAGUUUCCAGUGCUCUAUCAGUCUCGAAUACGGGAGGGAGAGUCAAGCAGAGGCAAGUCCCUUCCAUUCCUAGCUUGGGCGGUGGCUAGCGAGUGGAAGGCGAUCUGCUGCAAAA